UGUUAAGUCAGAAUUUUGGUCUCCUAUCUUCUCCAUCCUUGUUGUGUUAAUUCAACUUCGCUGGUUCUCAUCUCUCUCUCUCUCUCUCUCUCUCUCUCCGUAGUUAAUAGCAACCUAACACAGAGGUUUCAUGUUGGAUUUUGACCCGGUCGAGAACGACAAACUGCUGUCAUCAGGUCCCAAUAUGUCCAAGUAUUAUUAAAUCAGGAUAUGACAAUAAAUAGUUGCUUAGAAAUUGAACUCUCUGUAACUACAUGUUCAGCCUCCUCAAAGUGAUCUCUCUUUUCACUCUUAUUGUCUUGGUGUCUCCUCUUUACAGUAGGAUCUGUAUACAUCAAAUCAAAGGAAGCUCUUGCUAAGGAUGUUUUUAGGAUAUAUAUUGUGGAUGGAGAUGUGUUGUGGCAUUCAAAACCCUGCUCCUGCUAAACAUUACUUUCAUAUGAUUUCUGCAAUUGUUAGGAUACUUCCUUUUCUAUUCAAUUAUUACUCAUUUUGAUAUCCAGAUAUGCAUUGCGGUUUGAUUUUCAUGGAGCAUUCGUGACGAUCUU